CUUGGUCAUUUAGAGGAAGUAAAAGUCGUAACAAGGUCUCCGUUGGUGAACCAGCGGAGGGAUCAUUACAGAGUUGCAAGACUCCCAAACCAUUGUGAACAUACCCGUUACCGUUGCCUCGGCGGGCGGCCCCAGGGCGGGGCCGACUGCUCCCCCUCCAGGGGGGGUGCCCGCCGGAGGACCCAAAACUCUCCUGUAUUUUGGUGGCUCUUCUGAGUAAACAUAUCAAUAGUUAAAACUUUCAACAACGGAUCUCUUGGUUCUGGCAUCGAUGAAGAACGCAGCGAAAUGCGAUAAGUAAUGUGAAUUGCAGAAUUCAGUGAAUCAUCGAAUCUUUGAACGCACAUUGCGCCCGCCAGCAUUCUGGCGGGCAUGCCUGUUCGAGCGUCAUUUCAACCCUCAAGCACUGCUUGGUGUUGGGGCGCUACGCGUCGAGCGUAGGCCCUGAAAAUCAGUGGCGGACCCGCUAUAGGUUCGGGCGUAGUAGCGAUAUCUCGCCCGGGACCUGCGGCGUGCUCCGGCCGUUAAACCCCCAAACUUACAGAAGGUUGACCUCGGAUCAGGUAGGAAUACCCGCUGAACUUAAGCAUAUCAAUAAGCGGAGGA
rnacentral:rRNA from 1 species